UAAGGAAUAUUGCUCAAUGGGAGAAAUCCUGAAGCAGCAACGCCGCGUGGAGGAUGAAGGGUCUAUGACUUGUAAACUCCUGUAAAGAAGGAAAAAAUUCCCAUUUGAUGGGAGAUGAUGGUACUUCUGGAGUAAGCCCCGGCUAACUACGUGCCAGCAGCCGCGGUAAUACGUAGGGGGCAAGCGUUGUCCGGAUUUACUGGGUGUAAAGGGUGCUCAGGCGGAUUUGUAAGUCAGAGGUGAAAUCUUACAGCUUAACUGUGAAACUGCCUUUGAUACUGCAAGCCUAGAGUAUGGAAGAGAGUGAUGGAAUAUCUGAUGUAGCAGUGAAAUGCAUAGAUAUCAGAUAGAACACCGAUGGCGAAGGCAGUCACUUGGUCCAUUACUGACGCUAAAGCACGAAAGCGUGGGUAGCAAACA
rnacentral:rRNA from 1 species